UACGUAGGGGGCGAGCGUUGUCCGGAUUCAUUGGGCGUAAAGCGCGCGUAGGCGGCCCGGCAAGUCGGCCGUGAAAUCUCCCAGCUCAACUGGGAGGGGUCGGGCGAGACUGCGGGGCUCGAGGUGGGCAGAGGGCAGUGGAAUUCCGGGUGUAGUGGUGGAAUGCGUAGAGAUCCGGAGGAACACCAGUGGCGAAGGCGGCUGCCUGGGCCUGGCCUGACGCUGAGGCGCGAAAGCGUGGGGAGCGAUCCGG
rnacentral:rRNA from 1 species